GAAGUUGAGACGUAAAGGAGACAGUUAUGUGUCAAGGUCACCGCUAAUUGAUGGUGAGCAGGAUCUACACUGAGACAGACUGGUCACAGGCCCUGGCUGUGUCUCAGUCAGUUGGCAAGGAGACAUUCUCAAAUGCCACAUAACAAAGAACACAAAUCACGUCAUUUGUGCCUGACAGGAAGAUACUCAGGGGGAUUCAACAAACAUUUGUCGGCGAUGUUAAAGAGCGAUCACAACAUCAGCAAAGCUCAUAAACGCUGAAGAUGAAAGGAGAAAUGGCUGUCACUUAAAAAACAGAACCUGGCUCUUUAAUAACAAAAAGAGAGGGACAGAACUACAAUUCCUAUCUUUGCCAAAUAACCCCCACCCCCAGGCAAUGUUAUGAGGACAUUUUUAAUAACAGAGAAAGGCAAGUCAUAGGUGGACACAACCACCUUUGUGUUUUGCAAAACAACUCAACUUGGCAUUUAAUGGAGGCCGACUUAAUGGAAAUAUUGGUACAGUGAUUGUCAACACUGCAAAUUCUGCCAUGGAUGGAUGGGUGGGAGAAAAUGAAGGCAAACACCCAAUACCCGUCACAAUUUUAUAGAGGAAAAACCUUAUUUCUGACACCUUUUUCCCUCUUCGAGAAUGACUGAAAAAAACACAUUUCAGAAGACACAGCUGAAAAACCACUGUUCUCAUGCCCUAACCCCUGAUCUGACAGAUGGGGAUUCUGGAAGUCUCUAGCUCCCCUGAGUCUCCUUUCACCCUGAGCGUUUCUGCUGUUGCUCCAAUGUCAGAGCUGACUCUUCCUGUGGAGAUAUCUGCCUGGAGACUAGGCAGGUGAAUACCUGCAUCGUCUGACUUCCUCCACCAGCCUCAGAAACUCUGCUACUGGGCUCAAUGUUGGUUACCAAAGAGACGGUUGGUUACCGUCCUCAUUCACGGAAAAAAAAAAAAAGCUCAUCUUUGUUUUCCCCACUACGCAUUUGAAAACUGUUGGAAAGAACGAUUUUAAUCCCUCAAAAAUGUGUGGCAUGGAGUUGUCAUCCUUAAACUCAGGAGGAAUCCCUCGCCUUAACCCUUCUAGAUUUUUCUAUGUUCUUCCUGCAGUUCUCACAUUCAAAUCAAAGUACAGAGCCAUGCAGAACCAUGCAACUCCAAACUUGGAGGGCGGUGAUGGUUGAGAAUCGAAUACAAACUUUCCCUGAAAGAUUGUACACUUCCUAGUGGUAUGAGUUCAGGGUGGUAAGUAGUGCUAAUCUUCCCCAUGUGCCUCACAGAUAAAUCUCUGACAGACUUAGGUUUUUGGUCCUCCUCUUAUCUCCCCCCUACCCCAUCCUCUCCCUCCAGCUACUUUCAUGAUAGCUCCUGUAAAAGAAGGGAUGUGGCUCUCUCUGCUCUCUCUAUAGCAUGUAUGAACCCAGGUCAAAGCGGAGUUAUGAUCUGGUACUUUCAUUUCAGGAAUUACAUCCUUCAUAUACACCAUGAGAUAUUUGAAGAAAUAUUUGUACACUUGUGUUCACUGCAGCAAGAUUGACAAUGGCCGAGAGGCUGAAGGCACCCAACUGGCCAUCAGCAGAUGAUGCAUAAGUAAUACAUGCCGUGUAGACAACGGUGUGUGUUUUGUCCUUAAAAACACCAAAGAACUGACAUAACAACACGGAAGAAAGUCAGCUACUUAUGAAGGACAGUACAGCAGGGAAUAAAUUCAUCCUUGUAAUGGAUCCCAGGUUCCUGUGGUAGAUCUGGCGAGGGUGGAGACAUUGAGCAUAAGGCCGGAGAUUUUGCUGAAAACCAGUUGAUCUACGUGGGGAGAAUGUACUCUGAUCAGACAUCUUUGAAUUCAUCCAGGAAACCAAUGGACGGACAAGUCAUGCUCUGAAUGAGUCACUUUUAAUUUGCUGAGAUAAAACAAUAUGCCCAAUGCAAUGUACCAAAAGAUGGCCUUAUCUGGCCCUUGUGGUUUCAGAGUGUUAGAGUCUAUGAUGGCGGAGCAGAGGAGGCAGGGGGAAGACUGCAAUAGCUGACAGAACCACAAUCAGGAGAGAGAGGCACACAGGGGAUGGCUGGAGGGUUUUCAGUCCUCAAGAAUACCUGCCACGACAUCUCAGAACCGUGCCUAAGAUUUAUGGGGGCCAUAUCAUUUAAACCACUACACUCUGCAGAGGGUAAUUCCAAACUAAGUGGAUCCUAGAGGUCAGCAUCUAACAAGAUCUUAAGGAUUUGUUUUCUAGGAAAGUGAGCACGCUGUUGCCAUGCAUUAUGAGUCACUUCUUCUGCCUCCGUCAGCUUCAUUUGUGCAUGUAUAAACGCCUCUAAACUGAUGUGUCUUUGUGGCUACUUCUUAAUUAUAGCAAAGGGAUUCAUACAGACAACUUAGGAUCUACUGGGAGAGAACUCUAUUAGAUGACUCAUCUCUGAAGCAAGGAGAAAGAAAAGCAAAAAGGAAUACAGACUAAGGAUAUGGAGGACUGCAAUGUAGCCCUGGCCUCUCAAGACCUCUAGGCAGGGACAACUCUAUUAGAUGAUCCAUCCCUGAAGAAAAUGAGAACGAGAAGCAAAAAGAAAUACAGACUAAGGAUGUGGAGGACUGCAAUGUAGCCCCAGUCUCUCAAGACCUCUAGGCAGGGACACUUCUGCACACAUUGCCUGAUCUUAGCAGCUGUCCAUAAUCCUGGAGGAAAAUUCUACAGCUCCUUGAUGGCCCAAGGGCCAUAACCAUGCAGACAACAUGGCCAAGAUCAGCCGCUCACUUAGGAUGAAGCCUGGCCUCCUUGAAACACAUUUAUAUAACCUUAGAUUUGUUGUUGCUUUUAGGGGCAGAAAAUGCGUUAAGCCUCACCUUCCCCAAGCACAGAAAGCAAAAGUUAGUCAGGGAAUAAAGCCCUUUGCUUUUUCUAACAUCAGACUCUCUGUUCGGAAGAUUCCUCCCACCCUAUCUUUUUGAUGAGCCAUGUGAUUUUCUCAGACUUAA